rnacentral:rRNA from 1 species
AAGACCUCAAAUCAGGUGGAAUUACCUGCUGAACUUAAGCAUAUCAAUAAGCAGAGGAAAAGAAACUAACAAGGAUUCCCCUAGUAAUGGCGAA